rnacentral:rRNA from 1 species
AUUGAACGCUGGCGGCAGGCUUAACACAUGCAAGUCGAGCGGGGAAGGGUAGCUUGCUACCUGACCUAGCGGCGGACGGGUGAGUAAUGCUUAGGAAUCUGCCUAUUAGUGGGGGACAACAUUCCGAAAGGAAUGUUAAUACCGCAUACGCCCUACGGGGGAAAGCAGGGGAUCUUCGGACCUUGCGCUAAUAGAUGAGCCUAAGUCAGAUUAGCUAGUUGGUGGGGUAAAGGCCUACCAAGGCGACGAUCUGUAGCGGGUCUGAGAGGAUGAUCCGCCACACUGGGACUGAGACACGGCCCAGACUCCUACGGGAGGCAGCAGUGGGGAAUAUUGGACAAUGGGCGAAAGCCUGAUCCAGCCAUGCCGCGUGUGUGAAGAAGGCUUUUUGGUUGUAAAGCACUUUAAGCGAGGAGGAGGCUACCGAGAUUAAUACUCUUGGAUAGUGGACGUUACUCGCAGAAUAAGCACCGGCUAACUCUGUGCCAGCCGCCGCCGUAAAAC